GACGAACGCUGGCGGCGUGCCUAAUACAUGCAAGUCGAACGAGAAAUUCUUACACCGGAUGCUUGCAUCCACCGUAAGAUUUCGAGUGGCGGACGGGUGAGUAACACGUGGGUAACCUGCCCUCAAGCAGGGGAUAACACUUGGAAACAGGUGCUAAUACCGUAUAACAACAAAAACCGCAUGGUUUUUGUUUGAAAGAUGGUUUCGGCUAUCACUUGAGGAUGGACCCGCGGCGUAUUAGCUAGUUGGUGAGGUAAUGGCUCACCAAGGCAAUGAUACGUAGCCGACCUGAGAGGGUAAUCGGCCACAUUGGGACUGAGACACGGCCCAAACUCCUACGGGAGGCAGCAGUAGGGAAUCUUCCACAAUGGACGAAAGUCUGAUGGAGCAACGCCGCGUGAGUGAAGAAGGGUUUCGGCUCGUAAAACUCUGUUGUUAAAGAAGAACAGGUGUAAGAGUAACUGUUUACACCGUGACGGUAUUUAACCAGAAAGCCACGGCUAACUACGUGCCAGCCGCCGCCGUAACAC
rnacentral:rRNA from 1 species